rnacentral:rRNA from 1 species
CAUGUAGGCGGAGGUUCCAGGUAAAUCCGGUACCUUUUUAACGCUGAGGUGUGAUGACGAGGCACUACGGUGCUGAAGUAACAAAUGCCCUGCUUCCAGGAAAAGCCUCUAAGCAUCAGGUAACAUUGAAUCGUACCCCAAACCGACACAGGUGGUCAGGUAGAGAAUACCAAGGCGCUUGAGAGAACUCGGGUGAAGGAACUAGGCAAAAUGGUGCCGUAACUUCGGGAGAAGGCACGCUGAUAUGUAGGUGAAGCCCCUGCGGGUGGAGCUGAGAUCAGUCGAAGAUACCAGCUGGCUGCAACUGUUUAUUAAAAACACAGCACUGUGCAAACACGAAAGUGGACGUAUACGGUGUGACGCCUGCCCGGUGCCGGAAGGUUAAUUGAUGGGGUUAUCCGUA